AACCGGUCCAUGGUUACGAACGUAAUGAAGUGGGACCGGUGUGAUAAAGCCGUGGUGCAUGAGCCGGUUCAACGGUGGUUCGGAGUUAAAUGGAUGCUUUCCGGUGAGACGAAUCAUGGAAAAGUUGCGUUCAAUCCAAUUAUCAGCGGUACCUUCGUCCCUAGUGUCAUGAACAGAUGGCUCUAACUCUGAAUUCCCUUUUUUAAUCAUUUGAAGGUACUCAUUUUUUUCGUCAUCAUCAUCGUCGUCUUCACUCGACGAGUAAUCAAGGUAAAUGGUGGAAUUUGGUUUCUUUUGGAAAUUAGUACUGUUGGGCGAAGGGAAGUUGCAGCCACGAACCGGGGAAUCAGACCGGGGCUUGAAAG
rnacentral:lncRNA from 1 species